GCUUCCCUUUGUUCGGGGAUGCCAUGACUUUGGAAAUGAUUCCGCAUGGUCUCCUAUUUGCUGCAAACACACUUGACUUUGUGAGACAACUUCCACUGGUGUAGUGUCUUAUUUAGCUCACCAGGAGGCGAGCCCACUUGGUUCGGUAACAAUAGGAGCCUGGCUUAAUUGAAGAAGAGGUUUCAUGUACAGGAAAAGCGAAAGGUGCACAAUGUUUAUUCUGUGUCCCAAGCAAAUAUAUUAAAAAGUCCUGCUGCUAGAAGGCAAUUGGAAGGUUCAAAUAGUCCAGCCACUGGCUCCCAGCCAAAUGUAAGAUAAUACACUGGAAGUUACAAGAUUUGAAGUAACGUAAUUGCUAUAACUCUAUGUACCAUAUCUACAAUGACAACUACAGCUGGGUGAAUGGUCAUGGAAUAGUUUUAUUCAAGCAAGCAGAAAAUCUUGAAAUAAAGUUGAUGUCCCACAAAUGCUGGCAUGAAAAAAAAUCUAAGAACAUUCAUAAGAUUAUCAUGCAGGCCAGGAGAGAAAUUAAAUUUCAUUCCUUCUUCAGACAUGAACAUGCAGAUUUGGCAGUGGCCACAUUCUAGAGCAAGUAAAGCUCUGUGUUCAUUGCAGCAUUAUUCACAGUAACCAAGACUUGGAAACAACCGAAGUGCCCAUCAGUGGAUGAAUGGAUAAAGAAAAUGUUUGGAAUACACAAUGGAAUACUACGCAGCUAUAAAAAAGAUGAAAUCUUGCCAUUUGCAACAACACGGAAGGACCUUGAGGGCAUUACGCUAGGCAAAAUAAGUCAGACGGAGCAAGUCAAAUACCAUAUAAUUUCACUCAUAAGUAGAAGAUAAAAACAACAAACAAACACCCAGACACUGAGAUUUGAUUGGUGGUUACCAAAGGGGAAGAAGGAAGGAGGGCGAAAGGGGUGAUAGGGCACAUGUGUACUGUGAUGGAUGGUAAUUAGUCUUUGGGUGGUGAACGUGAUGUAGUCCACAAAGAAAUUGCAAUAUGAUGAUGUACAUCUGAAGUUUAUAUAAUGUUAUAAACCAAUGUUACUUCAAAAAAAAGAAAACUCAGGUCUGUUUCUUUGGGUCUUCAUUUCCUUAUAAAGGCUUCCAUGUCAUGUAAAAUUUAUAUUACAUAAACUUGUACAUUUGUCUCCUGCUAAUCUGUCUUUGUCAGUUUAAUUUUCAGACCCAAACAGUGACCCUAAGAAGAUUGAAAGAGCAUUUUCCUCCUUUAUAAAGUUAAUAAAAGAAGCCUAGGAUACAAUCUUCAGGUUAAAAAAAGAAGUAGUCAGUGUCCUUCAAAAUUAAUAAAAAUAAACUUUGGGAGUUUGUUUUCUGUUGAAGAAAAAUUGCUUAUAUAUCUAUCAGAAAAAAUUGACAUGAUAACAUGUAACUUCACCAAUUCUAGGACCCUGAACCAAUAGUAAGCAGUGAGUCAAAGUAUGUAACCUCAAAUAAUCUUUGGGUGAGCCUAAAAAACAUUGCCUCCAUAUGAUAUUGAAAG